CCGCUGCUCCCCCUCCCUCCCAGGCUUGAGAGCCUGGGAGGGAGGGCGAGUAGCGGCGUGCGAAUCAGCUGUUUCGCGCGCCGUGGCAGCAGCAGCGGAGGUGAGCUAGGGCGGCCGGGGCACAUUUUUAGACCAGGCCUUAAGGUCCCGCAUUGCUCCUAGCAAGGCAGAGAGGCAACCAGCAUACGCUGCUACUGCUGGCUUACCAGCGUCCAGUAUUUCCCGGCAUGAAGGGUUUUUUUUGCAAAUGACUUUGUGCCUCAAUGAGUUUCUUAUCAUGCAAAACAGGACAAGCGGCAUUGAGGGUGACGUUGCCCCGAAGAGCUCGGAGGGUGACGGUUCUCUUUCAGCUUCUCUUCUAGCCAGAAACUGAGUGCUUGUCCCAUGGGACCAUUUCUUCCUGGUAAACACAGAGUGAACUCGAAUCCUGUAGUAUUCCCCCAAACCCUGUCUCCAAAUCCAAGCAGUUAAAGGGCAUGCCCCGAGAUUUAUCUGUCCUUUGCCACUCAUAGACAAACUCCUUCACGCAGCUGGCUUUAUCAGCGAGUGCCCCUCUGGGAUAAAUGAAGGGGGUGGGGCUCCCUUUUAUGAACAUCCAUCCAGCCAGUAGCUAUAAAAUCCCUCUCAGUAGCUGUUCUCUUAUUGCUCUACCUCUAAAGGGUUAAAAAGUCUCACUGCUAUGCAUAGGUAAAAGGAAGUGAGUGGGCACCUGUCCAAAAGAGCCAGUGGGAAGGCUAGAACUUUUUAAAAUUGAAACAAGGCUCCCCUUUUGUCUGUCUGUUGUUCUCUGGUGAGAGGCGGACAGGACAGAGUUAUGCUGGAAGAGCUUGGGCCAGGUAUGAAAAAAUCAUCAGUAUCAUACCUAGAAACUACUCAUUUUAAAACCUCAGAUAUGUAAGUAGCUCAGGAAAUGUAUAGGAAGACGCAAUUAGGUUUAUUCCUUUUAUUUCGUUCUGGCUUGUGGAUUCCUCUGUGCUAACCCCAGGUGCUUUUGUUUUGCUUGUAACCUUUAAGCUGGACCUCAAGAAAGCUAUUCUUGGUUCUUAAAUCCCUGUAGCUUUCUUAUUUAAAUCUAGCAAAUGCCUGAGUUCCCAGAUGUAUUUUGUUUCUUUUUUUUAUUAAUAAAAUGUACCUUUUUUAAGAACA
rnacentral:lncRNA from 1 species